GUGGAUUAGAUACCCUAGUAGUCUUAGCUGUAAACGAUGUGAACUUAGUGUCGGUGGGUUUAAAUCCAUCGGUACUGAAGCAAACGCGAUAAGUUCACCGCCUGGGGACUACGGCCGCAAGGUUAAAACUCAAAGGAAUUGACGGGGCCCCGCACAAGCAGCGGAGCGUGUGGUUUAAUUCGAUGUUACACGAAGAACCUUACCAGGGUUUGACAUGCUAGUGGUAGGAAGCCGAAAGGUGACCGACCCUUCGGGGAGCUAGCACAGGUGCUGCACGGCUGUCGUCAGCU
rnacentral:rRNA from 1 species